rnacentral:rRNA from 1 species
GACGAACGCUGGCGGCGUGCUUAACACAUGCAAGUCGAGCGGAAAGGCCCUUCGGGGUACUCGAGCGGCGAACGGGUGAGUAACACGUGAGCAACCUGCCCCCGACUCUGGGAUAAGCCC